ensembl:misc_RNA Metazoa_SRP Metazoan signal recognition particle RNA
GCCAGGCAUGGAGGUGUGUGCCUGUAGUCCCAGCUACUUGGGAGGUUGAGGCUGGAGGAUCGAUAGAGCCCAGGAGUUCUGGGCUGUAGUGCGCUAUGCUGAUUGGGUGUCCACACUAAGUUCGGCAUCAAUAUGGUGACCUCUUGAGGGUGGGAGACCAUCGGGUUGCCUAAGGAGGGGUGAACCGGCCCAGGUAGGAAAUGUAGCAGAUGAAAACUCCCAUGCUGAUCAGUAGUGGGAUCACGCCUGUGAAUAGCCACUGUACUCCAGCCUGGGCAACAUAGUGAGACUCCGUCUCU